GAGAGUAUAGAACAUGGCUCCAUGAAGCAAUGCCCCAGUCAGUAGGGCCUGAUUCCUGCCACCUGGAAGGAUAGCUACACAUCCUGGAAUUGCCCACAUUUGAGGAAGCUGGGAAGCUGACAUUUGGAAAGCUAACUGUCUGAUUGUUCUGUUCCAUAUUUUGCUGGUAGUUCCUGGCAUAGCUGAAAAGAGAACCCCCAGGUUCCCAUCCACCACUGCCUUUGAACUCUCUUGGUCUCUCAAGGAUGCUUUGAUUGUUCCUAUUAUACAGGAGUGCUGUGUGGAGAAUGAUUCUGAGACCAUGUGCAAUGCCAGCAGAAAAGAACAGAGAUCGAUUAGUAAUGGCCAUCAUGAAUCUCUGCAAUGAAAGAAAAGAGAGCCCAGAGGGAACCCUGCAAACAUCCACUUAAAAACUGGACUGAGCUUGGCACUAUUUCUCCCAACAGGAACCCCCUUACAUCUUGAUAGCACUUGAUAGUUUCAAAAGCAUUUUUCAUUUGCUUUGUUUUCACUUAACCAUUCUAUCAACUGUGUGAACUCAGGAGGGUUAAUCUAUCUUCACAUUGAUUAGUUUACCCAUUAAACGCUUAUUGAGUCAUUA